AAGCACAUUUCAUUGUCUUUUUCUUAACACCUGUAAGAAUAAAGAUAUUUCUGAUGUGCUAAAUAAUAGGUGAAGGUAAAUUAGCAGUGUGAUAUACAUAAUCAUCACUGUCAGUCACCUUCAGACAAAA
rnacentral:snoRNA from 1 species